rnacentral:misc_RNA from 1 species
GCCUACUGUUUAAUUUUGAGGGUUCGUUUUUACGAAUACUCAAAAUUAGCACUUUAAGCAACGGGAUUUAUCCGUUGGCGCUGUGCAUUAGCACUUUGAAAACUGCAUAUAUAUAUUUAGUGAUAUGACAUCUAAUUUGUAAUAUAUAAAGCUGAUAACUUUUUAAAAUUAUCGAAGUUGAUAGCUUCUAAUCUAUCAAACCUUUUUAACUGGUCAA